AAGAAAACCAGUGACAAAGAAAACAGAAGAACUCAACUUGAGGAGAGCAAACGGCUACUUGUACCUUGAUUCUGCAGUCCCUGCAGGAACUGGAAGACCAUAAUGCAGCCCUGCCUACAGUAAGGAGGAUCAGUCCUUAACAGAAGACAGGAGAAAAUUGAGUGAGUCUUUCAACCAGAAGCAUAAUAGCCUUCAAACACCCAUCAAUUGAAUUUUAACAGCCAAGUAAAAGCAAGAAAGAGGGAAAAAUAGUACAGUAAAAAAAAAUACAAAAUUUGGUCCAGAAUUAC
rnacentral:lncRNA from 1 species